AAUCCAUGAAAACAACUAAGGU
rnacentral:misc_RNA from 1 species